UAGUGAGAGGAUAGAACAAAUUAUGAAAUGUGCAAGACACCAGGACUAGAGCAUGGAUACAAAAAUACGUAUAAGAGAGCACUGUUCUUGUGAUAAAAGCUGGCAGCUGAGCGUCCAUUACCUAAUCAUCAAAAAUGACAUAUGGACAGAGACAAAGUCAGAAAUAUAAAUGAAGAAGAGAUAAAAAUUGAGUGAAACAGUUCGUUAUUCAUGUGGAAUUCGGCACUGUUCUACCUACACAGAAGAUGUUAUUGUUUUAAACAAACUUGGCAAAAUCUGUGGCUUAAAUCUUAACUCUAUUAAGCAAAAAGCUGAAAGAUAGUUUAUCACUGUCUGUAACAGGUAUGGUACCAGCCCAUUUCCUUCUUGUUGAACUGGC
rnacentral:lncRNA from 1 species